UACGUAGGGGGCAAGCGUUGUCCGGAUUCAUUGGGCGUAAAGAGCGUGUAGGCGGCCAGGUAGGUCGGUUGUGAAAACUGGAGGCUCAACCUUCAGAGGUCGACCGAAACCAUCUGGCUAGAGUCCGGGAGAGGAGAGUGGAAUUCCUGGUGUAGCGGUGAAAUGCGCAGAUAUCAGGAAGAACACCCGUGGCGAAAGCGGCUCUCUGGGACGGUACUGACGCUGAGACGCGAAAGCGUGGGGAGCGAACAGG
rnacentral:rRNA from 1 species